rnacentral:rRNA from 1 species
UACGGAGGGUGCAAGCGUUGCUCGGAAUUAUUGGGCGUAAAGGGUAGGUAGGUGGUCUCAUUUGUCUCAUGUGAAAGCCUUGGGCCUAACCCAAGAAGUGCGUGAGAAACGGUGAGACUGGAGUACUGGAGAGGCUAGUGGAAUUCCCGGUGUAGCGGUGAAAUGCGUAGAGAUCGGGAGGAACACCAGAGGCGAAGGCGAUCAUCUGGGACUAACCUGACGCUGAGGAGCGAAAGCCAGGGGAGCAAACGGG